rnacentral:lncRNA from 1 species
CCACGUUCACAAAAGGUCUCCUCUCUUCUUUCUUACAUGGAAGGUGGUUUGGAUCAAAUCAAAAAGGAAAAAGUUUGGAUUUCGAAUUCUAUGAGAUAGAGUUUUAGAAAUCCAAAACUCUUUCAAUUUUGCACCGAAUUUAUCCAAUUUUUUUUUGAAAUUUUUGUGGCUUUUAGGGUACACAUUGUGCACCUUUUACUGGUGAUCCAUAUACAAAAAUAAGGAGGAGGUGCUCAAGAGUUGGGCGCCCCUUAACUUGCCAUGUUUGGAUAAGCCUUGACUAGGUAUUUGACCUAGACAAGAACUCUAUCAUAUCUCUCUAUAUAAGAUGAGUUUCUUCAUGACAUUUUAGAAAAAGUCAGAUAUUUGAGAGACCUUUGUGCCAUUUAAAAAUCAGAGAGAAAUACCUUUGGGUCGUGGAGAUAUAAAAGAUGCAAGUUUGGGUGUCUAGAGAGAAAAACGUGAAGAAGAAGAGGGUCUUCUUCUAGGGUUUUUAUUUUUAUAUCUUUCCUCCCUCCAUCUUGAGUUUCCUGAGAGUGUCUCAGAUCUGAAACUCCUCCUUCUACUUUUCAUCUUUGGAAGAGUCCAAAUCAAGAAGAAGGAGGCACCUGAUCAACCAUCAAAGAAGGAUCAGCGCAGUACUAGCAUACUGUGCUGAUUUCCUGAAGCAGGACUUCUGAUCGAGAUUCGUGGGCUCGUGUGGAUGACUCCUAGAG